rnacentral:misc_RNA from 1 species
AGGUUUCAACAUCACCUGUAUUAUUCCAGCAUGAUCCCCCUUGGAAUGCUCCGGUCCAGAAUUCAACCAUGUCCCAGGCCAAUGGGUUCCAUCUGCCAUCCACGUAGCUUUUGGGAUCUUUACAUUCUCUAAAGGUUCAUCAUCAGUCUUUUGCCUCUGUUGCUUCAUGGCCUUAAUUUCUUCCCUUGCAUGAUAAGCAUCAGACCUACGGCGAAUGGAAUCCGGCAAGCUAUUGAUACGAACCUUAAACUCAUCAUACUCACGCUUUGCCCGCCUACGAUCCUUAACAAAGUCUUGCUUUACCUUGUUUUUGUAAGGAUCCUUCUUUAAAUUGAAGUAACUUUCUGGAUUUCUAGGUUCAAUGUUAUGUUUACGACAAAAUGGUACCCAUAAAUUAGCAAAACUUGCAGCUUCUGCCAUUGCCUCAAAGGUCAAAAGGGCACCUCCAUCAUCAGAGACAUAACAAGCAAGUUUUUCUACAGGAUAAUCUGCAGCUAGAAUGGACAAUAUAGUAUUAGCAGUCACAAGAGGGGGUUCCUUCUCUGGAUCAGCGGUAGAGACAAACAUAUCAACACCAGGGAGAUCAGAUCUCCCAGUAGGAUUGCCUGGGCUUGGUGUUUCAAAUUUGUCUUUCAAGACACUAAGAUCAGUUGCACGGUUGAUCGGGCAAAGCUUGGGCAAUUGAUCAAGAAUCCAAGAGAAAGCAAACCAUAUUUCACAAACAACAGACAUCCCCCACAACCAAACUGCAUCGUUGUUGGGAUGAUUCACUCUCCAUGCCAAAAAAAGUCCAAGUACAACAAACCGUAUGACGAUCAAAAGUCUAUAAGGACUUAGGAUAGCAGCAGGAAUUUUCAAUUUGCGCGUAAGUGGCCUCCAUGGUUUGCUCAUCAGUUCAGUAGGCUCCAUAAUAUCAUCAUCUUUUCCAUUUACAAAUCCACCUUCUUUUGGCCAUAUAGCAUUUCCAUACCCAUAUGUGCCCUUUGUUUCAAACAACCAACGGUUGUGAUCAAACUCUGAAGUAUGGCUCCUAAUCAAUCCCGACUUAGUUGAUUUCAUAAUUGACAACCUUCUCUCCAUCCUUGACAUCCCACCUGGCCCAGUGAGAGGAAGCGGACGAUUGUUUCCAUUAGUUUCCUCCCAGUCAGUGACUUUAUAUUGCUCCUUACACCCCGGACAUAUACCAUCACCGGUUUUGACAGCAUCCAGGUAACAGUCUCUGCAUAUCUUGAAAUCACAUUCACAUGGAACAAUAUCAAUGCCCCUUUCAUCACUCAUCACUUUAGCAUCACAUCCAGGGAUAGCACACGACGACCCUUUUGCACCCGCCAUUU